rnacentral:rRNA from 1 species
AUACGGAGGAUGCGAGCGUUAUCCGGAUUUAGUUGGGUUUAAAGGGUGCGUAGGCGGAUAGAUAAGUCAGUGGUGAAAACCUGCAGCUUAACUGUAGACUUGCCGUUGAUACUGUCAGUCUUGAGUAUGGUCAAGGUAGGCGGAAUGUGUAAUGUAGCGGUGAAAUGCUUAGAUAUUACACAGAACACCGAUUGCGAAGGCAGCUUACUGGGCCAUUACUGACGCUGAUGCACGAAAGCGUGGGGAUC